AGAGUUUGAUCCUGGCUCAGAUUGAACGCUGGCGGCAUGCCUUACACAUGCAAGUCGAACGGUAACGCGGGGCAACCUGGCGACGAGUGGCGAACGGGUGAGUAAAGCAUCGGAACGUGCCCAGUAGUGGGGGAUAGCCCGGCGAAAGCCGGAUUAAUACCGCAUACGACCUAUGGGUGAAAGCGGGGGACCGCAAGGCCUCGCGCUAUUGGAGCGGCCGAUGUCAGAUUAGGUAGUUGGUGGGGUAAAGGCCUACCAAGCCGACGAUCUGUAGCUGGUCUGAGAGGACGACCAGCCACACUGGGACUGAGACACGGCCCAGACUCCUACGGGAGGCAGCAGUGGGGAAUUUUGGACAAUGGGGGCAACCCUGAUCCAGCCAUGCCGCGUGCGGGAAGAAGGCCUUCGGGUUGUAAACGCUUUUGUCAGGGAAGAAACGCUCCGGGCUAAUACCCUGGGGUAAUGACGGUACCUGAAGAAUAAGCAUCGGCUAACUACGUGCCAGCAGCCGCGGUAAUAC
rnacentral:rRNA from 1 species